CCCGGAAGGGCGCCCAUGGAGUCGGGACUGUCGACUCGACUGACUGCUAUGGCGCCGCUGCUGGAGUAUGAGCGGCAGCUGGUGCUGGAACUACUCGACACGGACGGGCUGGUCGUGUGCGCCCGCGGGCUCGGCGCGGACAGGCUCCUGUACCACUUCCUCCGGCUGCAUUGCCACCCGGCAUGCCUGGUGCUGGUGCUCAACACGCAGCCGGCCGAGGAGGAGUAUUUUAUCAACCAGCUGAAGCUGGAAGGUGUCGAGCACCUCCCUCGCCGCGUAACAAAUGAAAUCCCAAGCAACAGUCGCUACGAGGUUUACACACAAGGAGGUGUGAUAUUUGCAACAAGUCGGAUACUUGUGGUUGAUUUCUUGACUGACCGAAUACCUUCAGAUUUAAUUACUGGCAUCUUGGUGUAUAGAGCUCACAGAAUAAUCGAGUCUUGUCAAGAAGCAUUCAUCUUGCGCCUCUUUCGCCAGAAAAACAAACGUGGUUUUAUUAAAGCCUUCACAGACAACGCUGUUGCCUUUGAUACUGGUUUUUGUCAUGUGGAAAGAGUGAUGAGAAAUCUUUUCGUGAGGAAGCUCUACCUGUGGCCAAGGUUCCAUGUAGCAGUAAACUCGUUUUUAGAACAGCACAAACCUGAAGUUGUAGAAAUUCAUGUUUCUAUGACACCUACCAUGCUCGCCAUACAGACUGCUAUACUGGACAUUUUAAAUGCGUGUUUAAAGGAAUUGAAAUGCCAUAACCCAUCGCUCGAAGUAGAAGAUUUAUCUUUAGAAAAUGCCAUUGGAAAACCCUUUGACAAGACAAUCCGCCAUUAUCUGGAUCCUCUGUGGCACCAGCUUGGAGCCAAGACUAAAUCUUUGGUUCAGGAUUUGAAGAUAUUGCGAACUUUGCUGCAGUAUCUCUCUCAGUAUGAUUGUAUCACAUUUCUUAAUCUUCUGGAAUCUCUGAGAGCAACAGAGAAGGCUUUUGGCCAAAAUUCAGGUUGGCUGUUUCUUGACUCCAGCACCUCGAUGUUUGUAAAUGCUCGAGCAAGGGUUUAUCGUGUUCCAGAUGCCAAAAUGAGUAAAAAAGGCAAAAUAUCAGAAAAGGUGGAGAUUAAAGAAGAGCAAGAAACAAGAAAGGAACUGGUCCUAGAAAGCAACCCAAAGUGGGAAGCGCUGACCGAAGUACUGAAAGAAAUCGAGGCAGAAAAUACAGAGAGUGAAGCCCUCGGUGGUCCAGGUCAAGUGCUUAUUUGUGCAAGCGAUGACCGAACGUGUUCCCAGCUGAGAGAGUACAUCACUGUGGGAGCAGAGGCCUUCCUGCUGAGACUCUACAGGAAAACCUUCCAGAAGGACAGCAAAGCCGAGGAAAUGUGGGUGAAACUCAGAACAGAGGACAGCGCAAAGAGAAUUACAAAAUCGAGCAAAAGACCCAAAGACCCCCAAAACAAAGGAAGGGCAUCUGCCAAAGAAAGGACUGUCAAAAAGAAAAAACGAAGGUUAACCUUAAGUCAGAUGAUGGGGCACCCUGAAGAACUGGCCGAGGAAGGGGACGGCAAGGAAAGAUGUCCUAGAGACAUAAGCAACAGCCCAGAAAGCUGCUUAGAGGAAAUUAAGCACGAAGAGUUUGACUUAAACUUGUCAUCUGAUGCCGCUUAUGGAAUCCUGAAAGACCCCCUCACUAUCAUCCACCCGCUUCUGGGCUGUAGUGACCCCUACGCCCUGACAAGGGUACUGCAUGAGCUGGAGCCACGAUACGUGGUUCUGUAUGACGCAGAGCUGACGUUUGUCCGUCAGCUUGAAAUCUACAGGGCAAGUCGGCCCGGGAAACCUCUGAGGGUUUACUUUCUUAUAUACGGAGGAUCAACUGAAGAACAACGCUAUCUCACUGCUUUGCGGAAAGAAAAGGAAGCUUUUGAAAAACUCAUCAGGGAAAAGGCUAGCAUGGUUGUCCCUGAAGAAAGAGAAGGCAGGAAUGAAACAAACCUCGACCUGGUAAGAGGCUCCGUGUCCACAAGUGCUCCUGCUGACACUCGUAAAGCAGGUGGCCAGGAACAGAAAAGUACCCAGCAGACUAUCGUUGUGGAUAUGCGCGAGUUCCGAAGCGAGCUCCCAUCUCUGAUCCACCGUCGGGGUAUUGACAUCGAACCAGUGACUUUAGAGGUUGGGGACUACAUUCUGACUCCAGAAAUGUGCGUGGAACGCAAGAGCAUCAGCGACCUGAUCGGCUCUUUACACAAUGGCCGCCUCUACAGCCAGUGCAUCUCCAUGUCCCGCUACUACAAACGCCCCAUGCUUCUGAUCGAGUUUGACCCCAGCAAGCCUUUCUCCCUCACUGCCCGAGGCGCCUUCCAUCAAGAGAUCUCCAGCAACGACGUCAGCUCCAAACUCACGCUCCUCACCCUCCACUUCCCGCGGCUGCGGAUUCUCUGGUGCCCGUCCCCUCACGCCACCGCCGAGCUGUUCGAGGAGCUGAAACAAAAUAAGCCACAGCCAGAUGCGGCGACAGCCAUGGCCGUCACGGCGGAUUCUGAUAUCCUCCCCGAGUCAGAAAAGUACAACCCUGGCCCGCAAGACUUCUUGCUAAAAAUGCCAGGGGUCAAUGCCAAAAACUGCCGCUCCUUGAUGAGCCACGUUAAGAACAUUGCAGAGUUAGCAAGCCUGUCGCGAGAUAAGCUCACGAGCAUUUUGGGGAACGCUGCAAACGCCAGGGAGCUCUAUGACUUCCUUCACACCUCGUAUGCCGAGAUUCUGUCCAAAGGAAAAGGGAAGACAUGAACAGUGGUGGCUGGUUUCUUAGCCCAUGACUGUGCUUGCCCCAUGACUGCCCUUUGUUGGCCGCCAUUGGUCGUUAUUAAUUAUCAGCUCAGUAGUUCAUGCCCUUCCAAGGUUUUUAAUGAUUGUGCCGUCUAUUUCCUAGGUCAGUGGACCAGAAGCCAGGAUUCACCCCUGAACUUUGCACUUAGGCCUCCUUUUAACUCUCCCAUGCCAGCUCUCCUCCCUGCGCUGUGCACGCCAGGGGUCACGUUUUCAGUUUUUAAAUGAGGUGUGUCAGGAUCAGGUAAGGUUUCUACAAGUGUUUCUAGAAGGCCACUUUGGAGACAAGUCGACCUUUACAUUUCUUACACAAACUAUGAAGCACACAACCAUGUUGUCACCCUCUGUCUGUAGAGGGGCCCCUGGAACACUGACAAGGAGCAUCUCUCUGGCGACUCCCACCAGUUUGUCUCCACUACUUCUUCCGCCGCUGCGUUCUUCCACCUGUCUGCCUCUAAGAAAAAUUCAUGGGGACUUUCCCCUAUUAAUUUAAGACAGCCACCUCUAAAACUGGCUGAUUAAUUUUCUAGUCACAUGAGUAGAUGUAGAUGUACCACUCAGUUGUUGAAAAACCAGUAUUUUUAAAACAUGAAAUGAAUUACCUGUUUGCAGAAUUUGAUGGUGUAGGUGAGGAGCCCUUAAAAUUCUCCAUUUUUAUAGAUAUUUAACCACCUAAUCCCAGAGAUCUCGAUAAGCCCAAAUAGCUAGCUACAGAGUCUCUUAAGACUUCUCUUUUCUCAGCCUCUCUUCACAUAUCCCAAGACCACCAGCACUAUAUUCUCUAGAAAUGCAAGGUAAACUCAUCCUCUCUCUGAUUCUUCUUCACUUCUCGUGUUCCUGUGCCUGAAUACCUCCCUGCAUCUCUGUGUGAGGACAAGCAAAUGACUGACCCGCAAUAUAAUAUCUGGUUGGCCUUCCUUGAGAUGAGAUACAAGGACUUGAGCUGUUACAGAAGCAGUGAGCACCCAGAGCAGUGAGAGUGGCCCUGCCAAGCUCCCCAGAACCACACUCGGCAUCUCAGCAUCAAGACGCCAUAGCCUUGAACUGUGUGGCCAUUGACUAUCAGUGCAAAAGAGAUUGACUCAUGAAUGAGAAAGAAGAGGAAUUUUAGGUAUUCCCAAGGAUCCGUUUGCACAAUGACGAUAUUUCUACAUCAAAAGAACACUUCUCCCUGAGAGCCUGGGAGACAGGAAGGAUGACACCCAACAGAUGAUGUCAGAUCCAAUUGAAUGGCCUCAGAGAGAAGAAAACCUGUUUUUGUAUUGAUUUGCCUCUUCUUAAAAACCAGCAUUUACAGUCAUGUACCCCCAACUUGGAAUGGAACUGGCAAGUCACAGUAAGUAACAUUGAGCCCUUUUUGAAGCCUUCUGUUUUGACAACAAAGUUUGGCGCUGAGGUCUGCUUGCAUUUAGACUGGCGUAGGGAGUGGCCUAGGACCCCUCGGUUUGUAACCUGGCUGUAUAAAUAGUAUUAUUAUCAUUUAAAGCAUCCUUUUCAGUGGUUUAUAAAACAAACAAAAAAAAUGUACUGGCUAAUGUCAUCUGGAAACUGAAAGUCAUGGUCAGCCAUACUCACAAGCCAAUCCUAAGACUUGGUAAGGAUUUUUAUUUCAGUCCCACCGAGCUUGCUGUAACUGGGGCGCUGGGUUGCUAUGGUGAUUCGUUCUCAAAACAGCCCUUUGCCGCAAUACAUUGAAACAGCAGAUGACUCUCCUUUAGGUUGACUUGAUCAUGACAUUAAUACGAGUUGAAACAUCCCCCUCGCUCCUCCCAUCAGGACGCAUGUGUAGGACGUUCAAAUCGGGGCCCAGAAGGCAUUGGGAAAAAGAAUUGCAACUGCGGCCUUUUCAACCUGGGCCAUCGCAAUUCAUGCCACUGAAGGCUAUUGGCUCACAGCCGGGAGCUCGACCACGGGGGCGGGCUGCAGCUGGGGAAGGUUCAUCACUGAAGCAAUUAUGCAGUUAAUUGCCCCAGUGUGGGCAUAGCCUGAAAGUUGUGACUCACACCCCAUUCUGUCACUAAUAAUUGCGGGGCCCGUGUGGGGGUGGGGGAGAGGGACAGGAUGCGCAGAAAACUCAGCUGCUUCUUCCCAUUCCUCUUGCAAAUCUGUGGCUCGCUGAGAUCUGUCCUCGAGGUGAGGGAAGAAAGGCAGCUCUCAACGCCCAACACGCGACGCUCCUCGCCUCCACCAGUAGGGGUCCCCAUUGAGUCGCAGGUCCUAAUGGAGCUGCGCUGGAAUCACUGGACACUUUGAAGGAUGGCCGCACUGUGAAUGGGGGUGUAUCUGCCUCUGAUUCUUGCUUAACCAUGACAUGGGAGAGAAAAAAAAGUAGCUGCCUGAUUUCCAGCAUGACUCAUUAUAAACAAAGGGAGGACAGAUUGACUGCCUCUUAUCAGAGCCUGAGUAUGUGACCUAGGAUUGAGGACAAAGGAGACAUACCUGAAGGGCUCAUGAUGUCACAUCAUCUCAUGCUGAUAUGCUGACCCCAGCCUCCCAGAGUGCCUUUCUGGUCGGUGAGUUGUUUAUUUUACU